UUUCCGUAGGUGAACCUGCGGAAGGAUCAUUACAGAGUUCAUGCCCUAACGGGUAGACCUCCCACCCUUGUGUAUUUAUACUUUGUUGCUUUGGCGAAUAGUGCGUCUGACGCACCUCAGCCCUCGGGCUGUGAGAUUCUCUUGUUCGCCAGAGGAUACCAAACUCAUAUUUAUUAGUGUCGUCUGAGUACUAUAUUAAUAGUUAAAACUUUCAACAACGGAUCUCUUGGUUCUGGCAUCGAUGAAGAACGCAGC
rnacentral:misc_RNA from 1 species